GACCGCGUAGCUCAGCUGGCAGAGCAUUGGGCUAGUAUUCCAAAGGUCGUAGGUUCAAUUCCCACCGUAGCCA
rnacentral:tRNA from 1 species